AUUGAGGUCUAUCCCAGUAGCCAUGCAUCAUUGGAAAUGCCUCACACAGUAACUCUGCAGAUUUUCUUAACUCACAGCACUUCCUUGGGCCUAUGUGAAGGAACCACAAAACAAUU
rnacentral:snoRNA from 1 species